UACAGAGGGGGCAAGCGUUAUUCGGAAUUAUUGGGCGUAAAGGGCUCGUAGGCGGCCAACUAAGUCCGACGUGAAAUCCCAAGGCUUAACCUUGGAACUGCGUCGGAUACUGGAUGGCUUGAAUUCGGGAGAGGGAUGCAGAAUUCCAGGUGUAGCGGUGAAAUGCGUAGAUAUCUGGAGGAAUACCGGUGGCGAAGGCGGCAUCCUGGACCGACAUUGACGCUGAGGAGCGAAAGCUAGGGGAGCAAACGGG
rnacentral:rRNA from 1 species